rnacentral:tRNA from 3 species
GCCGGAAUAGCUCAGUUGGUAGAGCAGAGGACUGAAAAUCCUCGUU